GGCUCAGAUUGAACGCUGGCGGCAGGCCUAACACAUGCAAGUCGAACGGUAACAGGAAGCAGCUUGCUGCUUCGCUGACGAGUGGCGGACGGGUGAGUAAUGUCUGGGAAACUGCCUGAGGAGGGGGAUAACUACUGGAAACGGUAGCUAAUACCGCAUAACGUCGCAAGACCAAAGAG
rnacentral:rRNA from 1 species